CCUUGCCGCCGGCGACCGGCGCACGGGUGAGUAACGCGUAUGCGACCUGCCCGUUGCAGGGGGAUAAUCGGGAGAAAUCCCGUCUAAUACCGCGUAACGCCGCGGGGCUGCAUGGCCCUGCGGCCAAAGGGAGCGAUUCCGGCAACGGAUGGGCAUGCGUGACAUUAGCUAGUUGGCGGGGCAACGGCCCACCAAGGCGACGAUGUCUAGGGGUUCUGAGAGGAAGGUCCCCCACACUGGUACUGAGACACGGACCAGACUCCUACGGGAGGCAGCAGUGAGGAAUAUUGGUCAAUGGGCGCGAGCCUGAACCAGCCAAGUCGCGUGAGGGAUGACGGCCCUACGGGUUGUAAACCUCUUUUGUCGGGGAGCAAAUUCCGCCACGUGUGGCGGAGUCGAGAGUACCCGAAGAAAAAGCAUCGGCUAACUCCGUGCCAGCAGCCGCGGUAAUACGGAGGAUGCGAGCGUUAUCCGGAUUUAUUGGGUUUAAAGGGUGCGUAGGCGGACUGUCAAGUCAGCGGUAAAAUACGGGGGCUCAACCUCCGCCCGCCGUUGAAACUGACGGUCUUGAGUGGGCGAGAAGUAUGCGGAAUGCGUGGUGUAGCGGUGAAAUGCAUAGAUAUCACGCAGAACUCCGAUUGCGAAGGCAGCAUACCGGCGCCCAACUGACGCUGAAGCACGAAAGCGUGGGUAUCGAACAGGAUUAGAUACCCUGGUAGUCCACGCAGUAAACGAUGAAUACUAGCUGUCCGGGGCGAA
rnacentral:rRNA from 1 species